UUACAUACCUGGAUGGAGUCAAUGGGUGAUCACGAAGGCCCAUGGCUUAGACCUGGGACCUCCAUUGCACUUGGGAGGGGCCCAAGUCUAAGGUCUGCCUAAAUGGUAGAGCCUACAUCAUAAUUUGUGGCAGUGGGGGCUUGUGUUCGCACGGCCCCUUC